UACAGAGGGCUCAAGCGUUGUUCGGAUUCAUUGGGCGUAAAGGGUGCGUAGGCGGCGCUGUAAGUCGGGUGUGAAAUUUCGGAGCUUAACUCCGAAACUGCAUUCGAUACUGCGGUGCUUGAGGACUGGAGAGGAGACUGGAAUUCCUGGUGUAGCGGUGAAAUGCGCAGAUAUCAGGAGGAACACCGGUGGCGAAGGCGGGUCUCUGGGCCGAGACUGACGCUGAGGCGCGACAGCGUGGGGAGCAAACAGG
rnacentral:rRNA from 1 species